GACGGAGGGUGCUAGCGUUGUUCGGAUUUACUGGGCGUAAAGGGCGCGUAGGCGGCCUGAUCAGUCGGGUGUGAAAGCCCGGGGCUCAACCCCGGAACGGCACCCGAGACGGUCAGGCUGGAGACCGGGAGAGGAGGGUGGAAUAGCCAGUGUAGAGGUGAAAUUCGUAGAUAUUGGCUGGAACACCGGUGGCGAAAGCGGCUCUCUGGCCCGGUUCUGACGCUGAGGCGCGAAAGCGUGGGGGAGCAAACAGG
rnacentral:rRNA from 1 species